rnacentral:rRNA from 1 species
AGAGUUUGAUCCUGGCUCAGGACGAACGCUGGCGGCGUGCUUAACACAUGCAAGUCGAACGGAAAGGCCCUGCUUGCAGGGUACUCGAGUGGCGAACGGGUGAGUAACACGUGGGUGAUCUGCCCUGCACUUCGGGAUAAGCCUGGGAAACUGGGUCUAAUACCGGAUAGGAGCCAUUUUUAGUGUGAUGGUUGGAAAGUUUUUUCGGUGUAGGAUGAGCUCGCGGCCUAUCAGCUUGUUGGUGGGGUAAUGGCCUACCAAGGCGGCGACGGGUAGCCGGCCUGAGAGGGUGGACGGCCACAUUGGGACUGAGAUACGGCCCAGACUCCUACGGGAGGCAGCAGUGGGGAAUAUUGCACAAUGGGCGCAAGCCUGAUGCAGCGACGCCGCGUGGGGGAUGACGGCCUUCGGGUUGUAAACUCCUUUCGCUAGGGACGAAGCUUUUUGUGACGGUACCUAGAUAAGAAGCACCGGCUAACUACGUGCCAGCAGCCGCGGUAAUACGUAGGGUGCGAGCGUUGUCCGGAAUUACUGGGCGUAAAGGGCUCGUAGGUGGUUUGUCGCGUCGUCUGUGAAAUUCCGGGGCUUAACUCCGGGCGUGCAGGCGAUACGGGCAUAACUUGAGUACUGUAGGGGUAACUGGAAUUCCUGGUGUAGCGGUGAAAUGCGCAGAUAUCAGGAGGAACACCGAUGGCGAAGGCAGGUUACUGGGCAGUUACUGACGCUGAGGAGCGAAAGCAUGGGUAGCGAACAGGAUUAGAUACCCUGGUAGUCCAUGCCGUAAACGGUGGGCGCUAGUGUGAGGGUCUUUUCACGACUUUCGUGCCGUAGCUAACGCAUUAAGCGCCCCGCCUGGGGAGUACGGCCGCAAGGCUAAAACUCAAAGGAAUUGACGG